CCUGUGUCAUUUUGUCUAGUCACUCAAGCACAUGCUCGUCAGACAUUUUGAUAACUGGAAGAAUGCCAUCACAUAUGCGUAACAGUGACGACAAAGAGGAAAAUGUGACAAUAACCAUUGACCCAAAAACGGUAACUUACUGCAUUAUAGGUGUCUUCAAAGUGUGUUGCUAAAAUGUGGCCGUGAGCAAGCUGUUCUGGUUACACGGAUCAAUGGUGGCUUCACGCAAGGGGCGUUCAAUUGCAGUCUGGACGUGGAGGGUUGAACAUCUGCUCUUGACGUAGCCUCAGAGUCUCCACAAUUCUCCAAUGAUACCACAAAAUGUCACUAGUUUUAUUGUUGUGGCUUUUAAAAAAAAAAAAAAAAAAGUCGCUCGAGGGGCUGGAAAAGUCACUCAAUAUGGCGACAAAGUUGCUCACUUGGCAACACUGAGUUGCUGCUUAUUUUGUAGCUCUGCCCCCGGUUGUCAUUGCACGUCCCACCAAAACCAAGCCAUUUGAACCACAGUGUCACAAGUGGAUGUUAAGUGUCCUUUUAUUUUGUAUCUAUUUGUAUUUUGUCAGAUUAUUAAAAGGGUUUAGUACCCUCAUUAAAAUUAUUCAGUCAUCAUGAAAUUGUAGGCGAAUAA